rnacentral:rRNA from 1 species
CCUACGGGUGGCUGCAGUGGGGAAUAUUGGACAAUGGGGGGAACCCUGAUCCAGCCAUGCCGCGUGUGUGAAGAAGGCCCUCGGGUUGUAAAGCACUUUCAGUGAGGAAGAACGCCUGGUGGUUAAUACCCAUCAGGAAAGACAUCACUCACAGAAGAAGCACCGGCUAACUCCGUGCCAGCAGCCGCGGUAAUACGGAGGGUGCGAGCGUUAAUCGGAAUUACUGGGCGUAAAGCGCGCGUAGGUGGCUUGAUAAGCCGGUUGUGAAAGCCCCGGGCUCAACCUGGGAACGGCAUCCGGAACUGUCAAGCUAGAGUGCAGGAGAGGAAGGUAGAAUUCCCGGUGUAGCGGUGAAAUGCGUAGAGAUCGGGAGGAAUACCAGUGGCGAAGGCGGGCUUCUGGACUGACACUGACACUGAGGUGCGAAAGCGUGGGUAGCAAACAGGAUUAGAUACCCCGGUAGUC